ensembl:lncRNA
GUGUGUGUGUGUGUGUGUGUGUGUGUGUGUGUGUGUGUGUGUGUGUGAGAUACACACACACUCGUGGCAUCUCUGGGGGGCAAAUGAAUGGUUGCUCUCUAAAACUAUGUCAUGCUAAAAUAUGACUAAUGUGUUUUGUUGUAGAUGCCGCGUCCAAGCAAGCAGUCCAAGGCAGCCAAGCGGCGCUGUGCUGAAAGAGGGCUGACUGCAGUAGACCUGGGGUCUGCUGCCGAGGUCGCGCUUCCUCGUAAAAUUAAAGUUGCCAAGGUCGCGCUUCCUCGUAAAAUUAAAGUUGCCGAGGUCGCGCUUCCUCGUAAAAUUAAAGUUGCCGAGUUUGCGCUAAUUCGUAAAAGUCAAGUUGCCGAGGUCGCGCUUCCUCGUAAAAACAAAGUUGCCGAGAUGGCGCUUCCUCGUAAAAAACAAGUUGCCUCCAAAACUCUGCCAAAACUCUGCCAACAUUCUGCCAACAUUUUGCCAACAAUUUGCCAACAAUCUGCCAAAACUCUGCCAAAACUCUGCCAAAACUCUGCCAAAAUUCUGCCAAAUGACCUGCCAAAUACUGUGAAUUACAUGAAAGACGAUAAUGUUACCGAUGAUUGUUUGAUUCUGCCUGUUGACAGAUCUGUGCUGAUGGGGUCGUUUCAUCAAGAUGAUUUACAGUUCGGAAAGGAUCGCAACAAGCAAUGUGGUGCCAUCAGUCUGACUGCAGUUCUGAAGUCCAAUCUGAGUGACGUGUGGACCUGGACGAGCAGAGAUCUCGAUGAUGUUUUGAUUAAGGGAACUGUACUUUACAGAUCAAUGAAUGCACAGCGUCUAAUAAGAGACCAAGAAAGAGGUUACAUUGCUGUGUCUGAAUUGCCUAGACACUACAAAGUGUGGAAUACAAAUUUUGCAAUUAACUAUGCAGAGUCUUUCACUGGAUUGAUUCGUGUUGAUGACUAUGAUCAAAGUUUACGUGAUGUUGCUAUGCCUUUUGAUGAAGCACUCCAGCGUUCACUAUAUGGUAAUGAUGCUUGUUUGUUAACCAUUUGUGCUAAUACAUGUGCAAUAGUCAAUGGAAGAGGCAAGUUUGCAUUUGUUGAUUCACAUAUAAACUCAAAUGUCAACAGGAAAGGUCGAAGGGCAAGCUGUGUUUCAUACUUCAACUGUUUACAGACCCUGAUCCGUCAUGUGUAUGACUUUGCAGAACGGUUUGGCGGAAGUACACCCCGAUUUGAGGCAACAGGUGUGAAAGCUGCAAUAAUCCAUGUCGACCCUGACAACGCCAACUACAGUACAAUGCAUUUGUUACAGCUCGUCUUUGACCUUGACAAACAUCCUGGGAGGAAACUCAUCAUGGGAGACUUCAAUGAGGAUAUCUUUGUGUCGUCUACCAUUGCCAAGUUACUGGAACAGCAUGGGUACAGUCAACACGUGCACACAGCCACAACUGAAAAAGGUGCGUUGAUAGAUCACGUGUACUGUAAAGAUGCAGGAGAUGUUACUGUUGAAGUUGUACCGACAUACUUCAGUUUUCAUGAAGCAAUACUUGUCUCACUGUUGUGAUGUAUUAUUUUGCAUUCAAAGAACGUGAGAUGUUCAGGAAUAUGUUAUCCGGUCAUUAUGUUAUACAUUGUGUCAUUAUCACUACCACAAAUAUACUCCGUCCGCCAACUGGGGUUUGGGUGGGUAAGGCAAGGAGAGAGCUUAACACUGGACGGCUCCUUGCAGGGGAUGGAAGGGUAAGGGUAGGCCAUUUUCCAAAAUAAGUUGCACAAAAGACAUGCUGAUGUGUGGUUCCACAGUGAUUUCACAUUGUGACCACCACACGAAAGACCCAAAAACACCCUAAUUCAAUGAAAAAUGAAAGAAAAUAAUGCUGUAUGUUAAUACAGCAUACCUAAAUUGUUAAUAAUAAUAAGAAUAAUAUUGCUGUUGUUUGUAUGUUUUGUAUGUUAUAAACAAAGAAAAUUUGGAUCUAAAUAAUAAUAAUAAUAAUAAUAAUACAUUUGAUUUGUAGAGCACUUUACAUUCAAAAAUCUCAGUGCUACGGAGUUUAAGAGAGAGGGAGAGAGAGAAAAAGUCUAAACACAGCUGUAGUCCGUGGGGCCUUCAGGUGGUCAAGGAGGGCGUUCCAUUGUCUUGGGGCAGCAGCGGAGAAAGCCUGAUCACCCAUGAUGCGGAUGUUGGUCUUAGGUCAUCAGAGGGUGUGCGCUGAUGCAGAGCGAAGGGUAAUGCAGAGCAAAGUAAUGUAGUUACUAGACUGACAUGAUGGUGAAAACAAACCAAAAAAAUAAAAAAACAGCUUGAGUGCAACUUAUUUUGGAAAAUGGCCAAAAAAUAGACCCUGUUUACUUUUUUUUAUUCACCUUAUUCACCAAGGCACCAAGGGAGGGGGGACCUGAUACAUUGUGUUGGAACUUCCAAUCAGGCAGUGAUAUGCAUCAUCAAUAGUAGUUGUUUGAACAGUUUUAUUUAUGUUGUCUUUUUUGCGCCCUCUUAAUCAAUCAAUUUUGUGGAAAAUAUCACCAGUACAAUGAGGAUGUUUUCAGCAGUAAAAACAGUGUUUUGUAAUCCUUAUACUUCAUGAAAAUAGAAUGGAUGUGUAUGAAGGCAAGCAAUGUAAUGGAAGUUUCAACAGAAAACCAAAGAAAAAACGUUUAGAUAUGAGCAUGGCUGAAUAAGGUGAACCGGUGAUUUUAUUAGUAAUGCUCGGAUUAAUUUUUAUGCCAGUGGAUCAUGUCUGUGCUUCAACAAUCGAGUGUUAUCUGUAAUGUUGAAAAAAAACACGACAAACAAAUGUAGUUUAAAUUGUUGCAAAGGAAUACAUUGACUUGUGAACAUUAAGCAGUGAUGCUACCUCAACAGACCUGAUGUGCACUUUUCAGGGAUAAAACAGGACACAUUUUUCUUAACAAAAUAGAGAAUUGCCUACUGCAUCCCAGAACACUACUGUUAAGAGUGAUGCAAAUAAUUGGCAUAAUGUACAUCUGUAUUUGAUGCUUUCCACUUGUGAUCCAUUUCUGUAAACACGGUCUUGUAAGCAAAGGGAUUGGGGUUACUUUACUAUUUAGUAGUACAGAUCAUUUAUUUUGUGUAAAAGUAAUGAUAGGCAUUAAUAGUGUUAGAUUAGGGCAGGAUGUUUUAAUUGUAUUAUUUUUUACCUAUGUGAUGUAUUAUCUUUGUAUUGCAUUUGGGAUCAUUUAUUAUUUUCUGAAGUCAUACAGUCGCUUCUGUUCAUUUCAUUUCUGCUUUGUAUUGGGAUAUACUGUACUUGCUGGUAUAUGAGAUGUAUUUGUUUGCAAGUAAAAUGAAGAAGCACAAAAGGAGGGUCUGACCAUGCAGAGUAACUCUGUAAGACAAGAGAAGGCUAUCGAACACACUCGGACAGAAAACCUGGCUGAGCUUCGGAACCCAGAGGACAUACAGCUUCAAAGUCAUUGAAUGCAUUACUGUUAAAGCAUCUUUUGUCAUGAAAAGCAGUACCAAUAUCCUGCUGAUGGAGAAAUACCUGGAAAAAAGCGUGUUGCUGCUCAUCUACCUUUUUCAUCGUUGAGGCCUGAUCAAACUCAUCUAUUUUCACCUGUGGUGCAGACCUUCAGUAACAGAUUCCACCUGUUGCAGCUUGCUCGAGCUCAUCCAUCUUCACCUGUAUCCCAAACUUCCAAGACCAAUCCGAACUACAAAAUCCACUGCUGCUAGAAGUUUGACUGUCCAUGAUGGUCUUGUGAGAUCACUUUCCUUAAUUUUUUAAAGCGUGUUACGGUGACUGGACUGGAUGCCUGGACUCUCCUCAUGGUUAACUGGCCAGCACCACAUCACCGUGUUAUAAAAUGAUUAAUCAUUUUAUGAUUAAUCGUUUUUUGUUUUAUAUCUGUUUUGUUUGUUUUUUAGCACUUUGGUGACCAAUUUAAUAUGAUGUGCAUGUGUUUACCUGUAUGUCAAUUAUGGCACCCACUCCUGACCAUCCCUGGAAGAAGGGAUCCCCUACUAUGCGUUUCUUCUCAAGAUUUCUUCCUUGCUAAUUUCAAGGGAGUUUUUUCUUGCCCUUGUGGGGGCUUGGGUAAAGGGGGGUGUCAUAAAUAUUUUACCUGUUAAGCCCUUUGUAAUGGUGAUUAAGGGCUAUACAAAUAAACUUGAAUUGAUUCCAUUAGUUUGUAUACUAUUUACGAUAUCAUGUCACAAGAUGGAUAAGACAACAUAACAAUGUUGUAUAUAUGCAUUAAGAGUAUUAAAAGUAGGUGGUGUGUGUGUUUAUUACUACCUUUUAUCAGUAGUUGCACUAUGGUUAGCACUAUGGGUGAUGUGGAAAAUACUGAAUCAUACCUCAAGUAUGAUUCAGUAUUUUCCACAUCACCCAUCAUCACUUAUAUGAUUAAACCCUGAGUACUUGCUUGUUUAUUUAGAUUGGCUUAACAGAAACGAUGCUGCCUAUCUCUUAGUAUUGACCACAAUAAUUUAACUUCAUGAUUUUUCCUACCAUUGACUGACUGGGUCUUAAUUAAUCAGUGGUACAAUCCCAAUUACAAUCAGGAUGAAGUGAACAUACUCUGAAUGCUAUGCUCUUACUCAAAUAAAUGUUGACACAGAUUCUGUAAUGGUGUCUUGAAGAGGAGUUGUGCGCACAUC